rnacentral:rRNA from 1 species
UACAGAGGGGGCAAGCGUUGUUCGGAAUUACUGGGCGUAAAGGGCGCGUAGGCGGCCCGCUAAGUCGAACGUGAAAUCCCCGGGCUCAACCCGGGAACUGCGUCCGAUACUGGCAGGCUUGAAUCCGGGAGAGGGAUGUGGAAUUCCAGGUGUAGCGGUGAAAUGCGUAGAUAUCAGGAGGAACACCAAUAGCGAAGGCAGCUCGCUGGGACGGUAUUGACGCUGAGGUGCGAAAGCGUGGGGAGCAAACAGG